rnacentral:rRNA from 1 species
AGUUCGAUCAGUCCAGAUUGAACGCUGGCGGGAUGCUUUACACAUGCAAGUCAGAACGGCAGCACGGACUUCGGUCUGGUGGCGAGUGGCGAACGGGUGAGUAAUGUAUCGGAACGUGCCUAGUAGCGGGGAUAACUACGCGAAAGGCAGCUAAUACCGCAUACGCCCUUCGGGGGAAAGCGGGGGGACUCCCGGCCUGGCACUAUUAUAGGAGCGGCCGAUAUCGGAUUGGGCUAGUUGGUGGGGUAACGGCUCACCAAGGCGACGAUCCGUAGCUGGUUUGAGAGGACGACCAGCCACACUGACUGAGACACGCCUGACUCUACGGAGGCAGCAGUGGGGAAUUUGGAUUGAAUGGGGAAACCCCGAUCCAGCCAUCCCGCUGCGACGAAGGCCUUCGGGUUGUAAAGCACUUUGGCAGGAAAAGAAACGGCACGGGAUAUGUACUCCCGCAGCAACUGACGGUACCUGCAGAAUAAGCACCGGCUAACUACGCGCCAGCAGCCGCGGUAAUACGUAGGUGCAAGCGUUAAUCGGAAUUACUGGGCGUAAAGUGCGCAGGCGGUUCGGAAAGAGCAUGAAAUCCCAGAGCUUAACUUGAACCGCAUUUUUAACUACCGAGUCAGGAGCGGUCAGGAGGGAGGUGGAAUUCCGCGUGUAGCAGUGAAAUGCGUGAGUAUGUGAUGAACACCGAUGGCGAAGGCAGCCUCCUGGGAUAACACUGACGCUCAUGCACGAAAGCGUGGGGAGCAAAUUGCGGAUUAGAUACCCGGUAGUCCACGCCCCAAACGAUGUCAACUAGCUGUUGGGGCCUUCGGCCUUUGGUAGCGCAGCUAACGCGUGAAGUUGACCGCCCGGGGAGUAUUGGUCGCAAGAUUAAAAACCCGAAGGAAUUGACGGGACCCGCACAAGCGGUGGAUGAUGUGGAUUAAUUCGAUGCAACGCGAAAAACCUUACCCUUACCUUGACAUGUCUGAAUCCCGAAGAGAGAUUUGGGAAUGCUCUGCAAGAGAACCGGAACACAGGUGCUGCAUAUGGCUGUCGUCAGCUCGUGUCGUGAGAUGUUGGGUUAAGUCCCGCAACGAGCGCAACCCUGUCAUUAGUUGCUGCCGAAAGGGCACUCUACGAGAUCGUUGGUGAUAAAACUGGAUAUAGCGGGGAUGACGUCAAGUCCUCAUGGCCCUUAUGGGCAGGCUUCACACGUCAUACAAUGGUCGGGACAGAGGGUCGCCAACCCGCGAGGGGGAGCCAAUCCAGAAACCCGAUCGUAGUCCGGAUCGCAGUCUGCAACUCGACUGCGAAGUCGGAAUCGCUAGUAAUCGCGGAUCAGCAUGUCGCGGUGAAUUACGUUCCCGGUCUCGGCGGGCCACACCGCCCGUCACACCAUGGGAGUGGGUUUUACCAGAAGUAGUUAGCCUAACCGUAAGGAGGGCGAUUACCACGGAGAUUCAUGGAUUGGGGUGAAGUCGUAACAAGGUAA